GGCACGCCUAACACAUGCAAGUCGAACGCAGUAGCAAUACUGAGUGGCAGACGGGUGAGUAUAAUGUGGGAAUCUGCCUUUUGGUUUGGAAUAACACGGGGAAACUUGUGCUAAUACCGAAUAAGCCUUUACAGGGAAAGUUUUAACGCCGAAAGAUGAGCCCGCACUUGAUUAGCUAGUUGGUAAGGUAAAAGCUUACCAAGGCAACGAUCAAUAGCUGUUCUUAGAGGAAGACCAGCCACAUUGGGACUGAGACACGGCCCAGACUCCUACGGGAGGCAGCAGUGGGGAAUCUUGCACAAUGGGGGAAACCCUGAUGCAGCGAUGCCGCGUGAGUGAAGAAGGCCCUUGGGUUGUAAAACUCUUUCGUCGGGGAAGAAAAUGACUGUACCCGAAUAAGAAGGUCCGGCUAACUUCGUGCCAGCAGCCGCGGUAAUACGAAGGGACCUAGCGUAGUUCGGAAUUACUGGGCUUAAAGAGCUCGUAGGUGGUUAAAAAAGUUGAUGGUGAAAUCCCAAGGCUUAACCUUGGAACUGCCAUCAAAACUUUUUAGCUAGAGUGUGAUAGAGGUAAGUGGAAUUUCUAGUGUAGAGGUGAAAUUCGUAGAUAUUAGAAAGAACACCAAAUGCGAAGGCAACUUACUGGGUCACUACUGACACUGAGGAGCGAAAGCAUGGGUAGCGAAGAGGAUUAGAUACCCUCGUAGUCCAUGCCGUAAACGAUGUGUGCUAGACGUUGGAAAUAUAUUUUUCAGUGUCGCAGCGAAAGCAUUAAGCACACCGCCUGGGGAGUACGAC
rnacentral:rRNA from 1 species